UACGUAGGGGGCAAGCGUUGUCCGGAAUUAUUGGGCGUAAAGAGCUCGUAGGCGGUCCGUCAAGUCGAUAGUGAAAUCUCAGGGCUCAACUCUGAAAUUGCUGUCGAUACUGGCGGACUUGAGGCAGGUAGGGGAAGGUAGAAUUCCUGGUGUAGCGGUGAAAUGCGCAGAUAUCAGGAGGAAUACCGGUGGCGAAGGCGGCCUUCUGGGCCUGUUCUGACGCUGAGGAGCGAAAGCGUGGGGAGCAAACAGG
rnacentral:misc_RNA from 1 species